rnacentral:tRNA from 1 species
GCGGAAGUAGUUCAGUGGUAGAACACCACCUUGCCAAGGUGGGGGUCGCGGGUUCGAAUUCCGUCUUCCGCUCCA